UACGGGGGGGGCAAGCGUUGUUCGGAAUUACUGGGCGUAAAGGGUUCGUAGGUGGCUUGCUCAGUCAGACGUGAAAUCCCUCAGCUUAACUGGGGAACUGCGUCUGAUACUGGCGAGCUUGAGUGCAGGAGAGGAACGCGGAAUUCCAGGUGUAGCGGUGAAAUGCGUAGAUAUCUGGAGGAACACCGGUGGCGAAGGCGACAUCCUGGACCGGUAUUGACGCUGAGGCGCGAAAGCCAGGGGAGCAAACGGG
rnacentral:rRNA from 1 species